rnacentral:rRNA from 1 species
GGAUCAGUAGGUUGGUCGUGCCACUGGUAUGUACUGGCCUCACUGGUUCCUCCUUCUUGUAGAACCGUAAUGCCAUUAAUUUGGUGUUGCGGGGAAACAGGACUGUUACUUUGAAAAAAUUAGAGUGUUUAAAGCAAGCUAACGCUUGAAUACAUUAGCAUGGAAUAAUGAAAUAGGACG